GAUCCUGGCUCAGAACGAACGCUGGCGGCGCGUCUUAAGCAUGCAAGUCGAACGGCAAGAUUAGUGCUUGCACUAAUCCUAGAGUGGCGGGCUGGUGAGUAACGCGUGGGUGACGUACCCUCUGAUGGGGAUAGCUACUAGAAAUAGUAGAUAAUACCGAAUACGAUUCCGUAAGUUAGAGGUGCGGAAUGAAAGGAGCUUCGGCUCCGCGGAAGGAACGGCCCGCGUACCAUUAGCUAGUUGGUGUGGUAACGGCAUACCAAGGCGAUGAUGGUUACCCGGCCUAAGAGGGUGAUCGGGCACAUUGGGACUGAGAUACGGCCCAGACUCCUACGGGAGGCAGCAGCUAAGAAUAUUCCGCAAUGGAGGAAACUCUGACGGAGCGACGCCGCGUGGAUGAUGAAGGCCGGAAGGUUGUAAAAUCCUUUUAAGCAAGAAGAAUAAACUUUACAGGGAAUGGUAGAGUGGUGACGGUAUUGCUUGAAUAAGCAACGGCUAAUUACGUG
rnacentral:rRNA from 1 species